AGCCGGGUAGCUCAGGGGUAGAGCAAUGUGCUGAUAACGCAGAGGUCGUGGGUUCGAUUCCCACUCUGGCUACAA
rnacentral:tRNA from 1 species